GACGAACGCUGGCGGCGUGCCUAAUACAUGCAAGUUGAGCGCUGAAGGUUGGUACUUGUACCAACUGGAUGAGCAGCGAACGGGUGAGUAACGCGUGGGGAAUCCGCCUUUGAGCGGGGGACAACAUUUGGAAACGAAUGCUAAUACCGCAUAAAAACUUUAAACACAAGUUUUAAGUUUGAAAGAUGCAAUUGCAUCACUCAAAGAUGAUCCCGCGUUGUAUUAGCUAGUUGGUGAGGUAAAGGCUCACCAAUGCGAUGAUACAUAGCCGACCUGAGAGGGUGAUCGGCCACAUUGGGAAUGAGACACGGCCCAAACUCCUACGGGAGGCAGCAGUAGGGAAUCUUCGGCAAUAGACGAAAGUCUGACCGAGCAACGCCGCGUGAGUGAAGAAGGUUUUCGGAUCGUAAAACUCUGUUGGUAGAGAAGAACGUUGGUGAGAGUGGAAAGCUCAUCAAGUGACGGUAACUACCCAGAAAGGGACGGCUAACUACGUG
rnacentral:rRNA from 1 species